AUUGAACGCUGGCGGCAUGCCUUACACAUGCAAGUCGAACGGUAACGGGCCUUCGGGUGCCGACGAGUGGCGAACGGGUGAGUAAUACAUCGGAACGUGCCCGAUCGUGGGGGAUAACGAGGCGAAAGCUUUGCUAAUACCGCAUACGAUCUACGGAUGAAAGCAGGGGACCGCAAGGCCUUGCGCGGACGGAGCGGCCGAUGGCAGAUUAGGUAGUUGGUGGGAUAAAAGCUUACCAAGCCGACGAUCUGUAGCUGGUCUGAGAGGAUGAUCAGCCACACUGGGACUGAGACACGGCCCAGACUCCUACGGGAGGCAGCAGUGGGGAAUUUUGGACAAAGGGCGCAAGCCUGAUCCAGCCACGCCGCGUGCAGGAUGAAGGCCUUCGGGUUGUAAACUGCUUUUGUACGGAACGAAAAGCCUUCUUUUAAUACAGGAGGGUCAUGACGGUACCGUAAGAAUAAGCACCGGCUAACUACGUG
rnacentral:rRNA from 1 species